GGAAGAAAGUAGGGGAUCGCAAGACCUUGCGCUCUUGGAGCGGCCGAUGUCUGAUUAGCUAGUUGGUGAGGUAAAGGCUUACCAAGGCGACGAUCAGUAGCUGGUCUGAGAGGACGACCAGCCACACUGGGACUGAGACACGGCCCAGACUCCUACGGGAGGCAGCAGUGGGGAAUUUUGGACAAUGGGGGAAACCCUGAUCCAGCCAUGCCGCGUGAGUGAAGAAGGCCUUCGGGUUGUAAAGCUCUUUCAGCCGGAACGAAACGGUCACGGCUAAUAUCUGUGACUACUGACGGUACCGGAAGAAGAAGCACCGGCUAACUACGUGCCAGCAGCCGCGGUAAUACGUAGGGUGCAAGCGUUAAUCGGAAUUACUGGGCGUAAAGCGUGCGCAGGCGGUUUUGUAAGUCAGAUGUGAAAUCCCCGGGCUUAACCUGGGAACUGCGUUUGAAACUACAAGGCUAG
rnacentral:rRNA from 1 species